rnacentral:rRNA from 1 species
UAUCCGCCCGGGAACUACGAGCAUUAGCUUAAAACCCAAAGGACUUGACGGUGCUUUAGAUCCACCUAGAGGAGCCUGUUCUAGAACCGAUAAUCCCCGUUAAACCUCACCUUUCCUUGUCAAUACCGCUUAUAUACCGCCGUCGUCAGCUUACCCUUUGAAGAACCCGUAGUAUGCACAAUCGGCACAGCCCCAAACGCCAGGUCGAGGUGUAGCGUAUGGAAAGGGAUAGAAAUGGGCUACAUUCAAUAAAUCAUAAUGAAUACGGAUGAUAUCUUGAAAAUAGAUAUCUGAAGGGGGAUUUAGCAGUAAGUAAAGAAUAGAGUGCUUUACUGAAAUUAGGCCCUGAAGCGCGUACACACCGCCCGUCACUCUCCCCGAGCUCAUGAAAGCACAUUAAUAAUUCACGAAACCCGCAAAGGGGAGGCAAGUCGUAACAUGGUAAGCGUACCGGAAGGUGCGCUUGGAAAACCCCCCGAGGCAUAGCUUAACAGUCCAAAGCAUCUCCCCUACACUGAGACUAUCCCCGUGCAAAUCGGGUUGCCUUGAAGCCGAAUAGCUAGCCCCCAACCCCUUAAAACCAACCACCCACCCUUAAUAACCCCUAAUUUACUAAAAACACAAAACAAACCAUUUUUCCAUCUUAGUAUAGGAGAUAGAAAAGAGCCCUGGAGCAACAGAGAAAGUACCGCAAGGGAAAGCUGAAAGAGAAGUG